AUACGAAGGUCCCAAGCGUUAUUCGGAAUCACUGGGCGUAAAGAGUACGUAGGCGGUUUGGUAAGUCAGGUGUGAAAUCCCGGAGCUCAACUCCGGAACUGCAUCCGAUACUGCCAGGCUUGAGUAAUGGAGAGGCAGGUGGAAUUCUCGGUGUAGCAGUGAAAUGCGUGGAUAUCGAGAGGAAGACCAAUGGCGAAGGCAGCCUGCUGGACAUUUACUGACGCUGAGGUACGAAGGCUAGGGGAGCGAAAGGGAUUAGAAACCCCAGUAGUCC
rnacentral:rRNA from 1 species